rnacentral:rRNA from 1 species
UACGUAGGGGGCAAGCGUUAUCCGGAUUUACUGGGCGUAAAGGGAGCGUAGGCGGCCUGCCAAGUCUGAUGUGAAAUACCGGGGCUCAACCCCGGGGCUGCAUUGGAAACUGGCAGGCUGGAGUGCCGGAGAGGCAGGCGGAAUUCCUAGUGUAGCGGUGAAAUGCGUAGAUAUUAGGAGGAACACCAGUGGCGAAGGCAGCUUACCAGACUGUUACUGACGCUGAAGCACGAGAGCGUGGGUAGCGAACAGG